rnacentral:rRNA from 1 species
UACAGAGGGUGCAAGCGUUGUUCGGAAUUAUUGGGCGUAAAGCGCGUGUAGGCGGCAUUGCAAGUCGGGUGUGAAAGCCCUCGGCUCAACCGAGGAAGUGCGCCCGAAACUGCAGUGCUUGAGUACCGGAGAGGGUGACGGAAUUCCCCAAGUAGAGGUGAAAUUCGUAGAUAUGGGGAGGAACACCGGUGGCGAAGGCGGUCG